rnacentral:rRNA from 1 species
GGAAUUACUGGGCGUAAAGGGCUCGUAGGCGGCCAACUAAGUCAGACGUGAAAUCCCCCGGCUUAACCUGGGAACUGCGUCUGAUACUGGAAGGCUUGAGUAUGGGAGAGGGAUGUAGAAUUCCAGGUGUAGCGGUGAAAUGCGUAGAUAUCUGGAGGAAUACCGGUGGCGAAGGCGGCAUCCUGGACCGGCAUUGACGCUGAGGCGCGAAAGCUAGGGGAGCAAACGGG